rnacentral:rRNA from 1 species
GACGGAGGGUGCUAGCGUUGUUCGGAAUCACUGGGCGUAAAGGGCGCGUAGGCGGCUUUGGCAGUCGGCUCGUGAAAGCCCGGGGCUCAACCCCGGAGGUGCGGCCGAUACACCAAGGCUGGAGGCCGGAAGAGGAGGGUGGAAUACCCAGUGUAGAGGUGAAAUUCGUAGAUAUUGGGUGGAACACCGGUGACGAAAGCGGCUCUCUGGUCCGGUUCUGACGAUGAGGCGCGAAAGCGUGGGGAGCAAACAGG